rnacentral:rRNA from 1 species
ACGGCAGCACGGACUUCGGUCUGGUGGCGAGUGGCGAACGGGUGAGUAAUGUAUCGGAACGUGCCUAGUAGCGGGGGAUAACUACGCGAAAGCGUAGCUAAUACCGCAUACGCCCUACGGGGGAAAGCAGGGGAUCGCAAGACCUUGCACUAUUAGAGCGGCCGAUAUCGGAUUAGCUAGUUGGUGGGGUAACGGCUCACCAAGGCGACGAUCCGUAGCUGGUUUGAGAGGACGACCAGCCACACUGGGACCGAGACACGGCCCAGACUCCUACGGGAGGCAGCAGUGGGGAAUUUUGGACAAUGGGGGAAACCCUGAUCCAGCCAUCCCGCGUGUGCGAUGAAGGCCUUCGGGUUGUAAAGCACUUUUGGCAGGAAAGAAACGUCAUGGGUUAAUACCCCGUGAAACUGACGGUACCUGCAGAAUAAGCACCGGCUAACUACGUGCCAGCAGCCGCGGUAAUACGUAGGGUGCAAGCGUUAAUCGGAAUUACUGGGCGUAAAGCGUGCGCAGGCGGUUCGGAAAGAAAGAUGUGAAAUCCCAGAGCUUAACUUUGGAACUGCAUUUUUAACUACCGAGCUAGAGUGUGUCAGAGGGAGGUGGAAUUCCGCGUGUAGCAGUGAAAUGCGUAGAUAUGCGGAGGAACACCGAUGGCGAACGCAGCCUCCUGGGAUAACACUGACGCUCAUGCACGAAAGCGUGGGGAGCAAACAGGAUUAGAUACCCUGGUAGUCCACGCCCUAACGAUGUCACUAGCUGUGGGGCCUUCGGCUGGUAGCGCAGCUA